rnacentral:rRNA from 1 species
CUACGGGGGGGGGCAAGCGGUUGUUCGGAAUUACUGGGCGUAAAGGGCUCGUAGGUGGCCAACUAAGUCAUACGUGAAAUCCCUCGGCUUAACCGGGGAACUGCGUCUGAUACUGGAUGGCUUGAGGUUGGGAGAGGGAUGCGGAAUUCCAGGUGUAGCGGUGAAAUGCGUAGAUAUCUGGAGGAACACCGGUGGCGAAGGCGGCAUCCUGGACCAAUUCUGACACUGAGGAGCGAAAGCCAGGGGAGCAAACGGG